CCAAGUGGAGCUUGAGUUCGUCCAGUGUCUUGCUAAUCCACAUUAUUUGAAUUAUGUCAUCAAAGAGCAUGUAAACACACUCAGAUUCCACUCAUGCAGGGAUAAGAAACACUUCCCUCUCUGGACUCAACUGACCCAACGGCAGGAUUUCAAAGUAAAAUCAUCGACUACAGUCUGCAGCAACCACUUUAAAUACGGCCAGCCAUAUCCUGAUGAACUUCACCCAUCUUUAUUUUUGAGAGGAUACGACCUUCCUGAGACAC